rnacentral:rRNA from 1 species
UGGUCCUGGCCUUAUAAUCAAUUAUUACUCAACUUACACAUGCAAGUCUCCGCAUCCCUGUGAAAAUGCCCUCAAACCCCUUCAGGGGUCAGGAGCUGGUAUCAGGCUCGAUCCUCAGCCCACGACACCUAGCUAUGCCACACCCACAAGGGUAUACAGCAGUGAUUAACAUUGACCAUAAGCGCAAGCUUGACUCAGUCAGAGUAAGUAGAGCCGGCAAAUCUGGUGCCAGCCGCCGCGGCCACACCAGGGGCUCAAACUGAUUAUAUUCGGCGUAAAGCGUGAUUAAAGCCAACUUAAACUGCAGUUAAACUGGAGCUAAACUGUAAAACCCAUGAACCCAGGAAACACAAAAACGAAAGUCACUGCAAUAAAAUCCACUUGACCUCACGACAGUUAGGACACAAACUGGGAUUAGAUACCCCACUAUGCCUUACCGUAAACUUUAACUUACACCAAAAUCGCCAGGGAACUACGAGCAAUGCUUAAAACCCAAAGGACUUGACGGUGCCCCAUACCACCUAGAGGAGCCUGUCCUAUAAUCGAUGACCCCCGUUCAACCUCACCACUCUUUGCCCAUCAGUCUGUAUACCUCCGUCGUCAGCUUACCACGUGAGCGACUUCAGUAAGCAAAAAGGUCCCCCACCAAAAC